GUGGGGAAUCUUGCGCAAUGGACGCAAGUCUGACGCAGCGACGCCGCGUGAGUGAAGAAGGCCUGCGGGUCGUAAAGCUCUGUCAAGAGGGACGAAAAUGCUUAGGGUUCAUAGCCCUAGGUACUGACGGUACCUUUGAAGGAAGCACCGGCUAACUCCGUGCCAGCAGCCGCGGUAAUACGGAGGGUGCAAGCGUUGCUCGGAAUUAUUGGGCGUAAAGGGAUGGUAGGUGGUCUCGUGUGUCUGAAGUGAAAGCCCAGGGCUUAACCCUGGAAGUGCUUUGGAAACUACGAGACUAGAGUCUUGGAGAGGUUAGCGGAAUUCCCAGUGUAGCGGUGAAAUGCGUAGAUAUUGGGAGGAACACCAGAGGCGAAGGCGGCUAACUGGACAAGAACUGACACUAAACAUCGAAAGCGUGGGGAGCAAACAGG
rnacentral:rRNA from 1 species